UACCAGAGGAAUAAGCACCGGCUAACUCCGUGCCAGCAGCCGCGGUAAUACGGAGGGUGCAAGCGUUAUCCGGAUUCACUGGGUUUAAGGGUGUGUAGGCGGGUAUUUAAGUCAGUGGUGAAAUCUCCGAGCUCAACUCGGAAACUGCCAUUGAUACUAUUUAUCUUGAAUAUUGUUGAGGUAGGCGGAAUAUGUCAUGUAGCGGGGAAAUGCUUAGAUAUGACAUAAAACACCAAUUGCGAAUGCAGAUUGCUAAACAAUUAUUGACGCUGAUGCACAAAAGCUUGUUUCAUCAAAUAGGAU
rnacentral:rRNA from 1 species